rnacentral:rRNA from 1 species
GCUGGCGGCGUGCCUAACACAUGCAAGUCGAACGGGAAAACAGGGGCAACUCUGUGAGUACAGUGGCGUACGGGUGAGUAACACGUGACUACCUACCCUCGAGUGGGGGAUAACCCCGGGAAACCGGGGCUAAUACCGCAUAACAUCGCAAGAUCAAAGGAGCAAUUCGCUUGAGGAGGGGGUCGCGGCUGAUUAGCUAGUUGGUGAGGUAACGGCCCACCAAGGCGAUGAUCGGUAGCCGGCCUGAGAGGGCGCACGGCCACACUGGAACUGAAACACGGUCCAGACUCCUACGGGAGGCAGCAGUGGGGAAUUUUGCGCAAUGGGGGAAACCCUGACGCAGCAACGCCGCGUGGAGGAUGAAGUCCCUUGGGACGUAAACUCCUUUCGACCCGGACGAUAAUGACGGUACGGGUGGAAGUAGCACCGGCUAACUUCGUGCCAGCAGCCGCGGUAAUACGAGGGGUGCGAGCGUUGUUCGGAAUUAUUGGGCGUAAAGGGCGCGUANGCGGUGCGGUAAGUCACCUGUGAAAUCUCCCGGCUCAACUGGGA